rnacentral:rRNA from 1 species
UUAAUUGAAGAGUUUGAUCAUGGCUCAGAUUGAACGCUGGCGGCAGGCCUAACACAUGCAAGUCGAGCGGCAGCACAGAGGAACUUGUUCCUUGGGUGGCGAGCGGCGGACGGGUGAGUAAUGCCUGGGAAAUUGCCCGGUAGAGGGGGGAUAACCAUUGGAAACGAUGGCUAAUACCGCAUAACCUCGCAAGAGCAAAGCAGGGGACCUUCGGGCCUUGCGCUACCGGAUAUGCCCAGGUGGGAUUAGCUAGUUGGUGAGGUAAGGGCUCACCAAGGCGACGAUCCCUAGCUGGUCUGAGAGG